ACAAAUAGAGAAACAAUUUUUAAGUUAAUUAAUAAUAAAGGGUGCACAAGCUACUAUCGUUUAGUAGCUUUCGAUAUAUGAAAAUUUUAAAUUGUUUUUUAGAAAAGCAAGAGAUGAGGUCUUGAUUUUACUAUCAAUAGAAUUCCAUAUUUUAGGCCCUUGAAAUCUAAUAUUAAACAUACCAUAAUUUGUUCUUGGUUUAGGAAAAGAAUAAGAUUGGUUAGAUGAUAACCUUGUAUUAUAAUUAUGUAAUUGGUCAACAGGCACAAAAAAGAGGUUAAAUGUAGAAGGCAGGAGAGAGUUGUGAAACUUAAACAUAAGAACAGCAGUGCAAAUAUUGACUAGAUCUUGUAAUUUGAUGAGAUUUAAAUACUUAAAGAGAGGACUACUAUGGUCACAGUAGGAUGAGAAUGUGAUGAUUCGUAUGGC